rnacentral:misc_RNA from 1 species
UCCAGUUCUAAUGUCCCAUAAUCUGAUGCAGCCCUUUGAUCCCCCAGAAAGGAAGAGAUUGGAGUUGUCUGGAUGGAACUUGAUAACUCCAAUAACCUGAUCUUCCUUGAAAAUCUGAGUUUCUAUUCCCUUUUCAACGUCAAUCAACCUUGAUGAGCAGUCAUAUCCACAAGAAAGCACUGAUAAUCCUCGCUGUGACCAUUUCACA